rnacentral:rRNA from 1 species
CGGGAGGCAGCAGUGAGGAAUAUUGCGCAAUGGCCGAAAGGUGACGCAGCGACGCCGCGUGGAGGAUGAAGGCCCUAUGGGUCGUAAACUCCUUUUGAGGGAGAAGAAUAGUUCGCUACAGGCGGAUUUGACGGUAUCCUUCGAAUAAGCACCGGCUAACUACGUGCCAGCAGCCGCGGUAAUACGUAGGGUGCGAGCGCUUGUCCGGAUUCACUGGGUGUAAAGGGAGCGCAGGCGGGUUGGCAAGUCAUUGGUGAAAUUCUCAGGCUCAACUUGGGGACUGCCAAUGAUACUGCUAAUCUUGAGUGCGGGAGAGGAAGACGGAAUUCCUGGUGUAGCGGUGAAAUGCGUAGAUAUCAGGAAGAACACCGGUGGCGAAGGCGGUCUUCUGGCCCGUUACUGACGCUCAUGCUCGAAAGCGUGGGGAGCAAACAGGAUUAGAUACCCUGGUAGUCCACGCCCUAAACGAUGGAUACU